rnacentral:pre_miRNA from 1 species
GGUUGCUUCGGUGAACAUUCAACGCUGUCGGUGAGUUUGGAAUUCAAAUAAAAACCAUCGACCGUUGAUUGUACCCUAUAGCUAACC